UACAGAGGGUGCGAGCGUUAAUCGGAAUUACUGGGCGUAAAGCGUGCGUAGACGGUUAUUUAAGUCGGGUGUGAAAGCCCCGGGCUCAACCUGGGAAUUGCAUUCGAGACUGAAUAGCUAGGGUACGGUAGAGGGAAGCGGAAUUUCCGGUGUAGCGGUGAAAUGCGUAGAUAUCUGGAGGAACACCGGUGGCGAAGGCGGCAUCCUGGACCAAUAUUGACGCUGAGGAGCGAAAGCCAGGGGAGCAAACGGG
rnacentral:rRNA from 1 species